rnacentral:sRNA from 1 species
AUGCAGCGGGGCGCCGCGCUGUGCCUGCAACUGUGGCUGUGCCUGGGACUCCUGGACGGCCUGGCGAGUGGCUACUCCAUGACCCCCCCAACCUUGAACAUCACGGAGGAGUCACACGUCAUCGACACCGGUGACAGCCUGUCCAUCUCCUGCAGGGGACAGCACCCCCUCGAGUGGGCCUGGCCAGGAGCUCAGGAGGCACCAGCCACUGGGGACAAGGACAGCGAGGACACGGGGGUGGUGCGAGACUGCGAGGGCACAGACGCCAGGCCCUACUGCAAGGUGUUGCUGCUGCGCGAGGUGCACGCCAACGACACAGGCAGCUACGUCUGCUACUACAAGUACAUCAAGGCCCGCAUCGAGGGCACCACGGCUGCCAGCUCCUACGUGUUCGUGAGAGGAAGGACGCCAUGUGGGUGCCCUGUCUGGUGUCCAUCCCCGGCCUCAAUGUCACGCUGCGCUCGCAAAGCUCGGUGCUGUGGCCAGACGGGCAGGAGGUGGUGUGGGACGACCGGCGGGGCAUGCUGGUGUCCACACCGCUGCUGCGCGACGCCCUGUACCUGCAGUGCGAGACCACCUGGGGGGACCGGGACUUCCUUUCCAACCCCUUCCUGGUACACAUCACAGGCAACGAGCUCUAUGACAUCCAGCUGUUGCCCAGGAAGUCGCUGGAGCUGCUGGUAG